rnacentral:rRNA from 1 species
AUUGAACGCUGGCGGCAUGCCUUACACAUGCAAGUCGAACGGCAGCACGGGAGCAAUCCUGGUGGCGAGUGGCGAACGGGUGAGUAAUAUAUCGGAACGUGCCCAGUCGUGGGGAUAACGUAGCGAAAGCUACGCUAAUACCGCAUACGAUCUAUGGAUGAAAGCGGGGGAUCGCAAGACCUCGCGCGAUUGGAGCGGCCGAUAUCAGAUUAGGUAGUUGGUGAGGUAAAGGCUCACCAAGCCGACGAUCUGUAGCUGGUCUGAGAGGACGACCAGCCACACUGGGACUGAGACACGGCCCAGACUCCUACGGGAGGCAGCAGUGGGGAAUUUUGGACAAUGGGCGCAAGCCUGAUCCAGCAAUGCCGCGUGCAGGAUGAAGGCCUGGUUGUUAACUGGACUUUUGUUACGGUAACGAAAGGUUUAGUCGUUAAUACG